rnacentral:lncRNA from 1 species
GCCGUUCCCAUGGCGACCGAUGCGUCCCGCGCUCUAGGCGAAGACCGCGGCCCCGUCCCCGCGCCUCCACCGCCUUCUUCCAGGAGGAGGGGCCGUGCGGCGCCUGCCCGGGGGCCCUCAGGCCGCAGGCGGGCGCGAGCUUCAGGGAACUUAGGGGGCUCCCGCCUCCCCGGCCACGCGAGCGGGAACAGUCUCCUCCACUCGGAGCGAUUAUAGAUCCAGACUCCUGUGCCUGACCACUGCCCAUGGCCAACUCUCUGCUGAUGACUGGACUUGACUACACAAGUUGUUGGCCAUCUUAAAACCACUCAAAGUUGACGGUCUCCUCUCCUGCCUCCUGCGGCUUCCAUUACCAUGGCAGAGACUGUGGUGUCUGAGGUGGUGUAGCGUACUGAAGCAAGGCUGUCUUGAAGAAGAGGAGACAACUCACAAUUCUACCACCUUUGUUGACCUCUUCUUCCCCCCAACUUAUUGCUGUAGAGGCUACCUGAGCUCAUUGUCCCUGGAGAUGGACCAAAUAGAAGAAUAAGCAGUGCCUGUGUGCUGAAGGUAAAGAAAUUUCAUGUGGUGGAUUCCUACAAAAGAAAAAGCUGCAAAAGAGUCAACCAGGAAAGGUGCUAGACACACAUCCAAUGGCUGCUGAGUGAUGAAUGAGAAAGAAACCUUCGGCCCCAACUACAGAAGAUAAGAGGGCAUAGGAAAAGUUUUUCCUCUCUACAAGCCAAAAGUCGCAAGGCUAAUAUUUACUCCCCUGAUUCUCUCCUCCAGAGCCCACACCCUUCAUCACUACUGAUAAAGUUUCAAAUAUGUUUUUCAAAUCUGGCAUUCAUGGUUGCUACUGCACUGGAAUAAUGGUAACAACAGGCUGAUGAGAAUCUUAAGUGGCACUUACUCAGUGGAGUAAUUGGAAGCGGCAAUGGUUAUACAAAUGAAUGCCCCUCAGAGGGAAGAAGGAGAGAUUUGCCUUGAAACUGCGGCUGUAAAAAGUUAGUGCUGGUAAGUGAAGAAACAGAAACUAAGUGAUAGAGAAUGGGAACUAAGGUAGAAAUAACUAACAAAGAUCACUGUGCAGAACCGUAGUGGUGUUCAGAGUAGAUGCGCAAGUCCAUAUGCAUGUAGCAAAUACAAGUCUCAACCCACAAAAUAAAGUGAAGAUGAAUAUAUUUUAAUUUUGUUAAUAAAGUUAUUUUAAUUUCUGUUAUAAGCUCUCUUCCACCAAGACAGAAGCACGGUCACAUGCCUGGGUAAAAAGAAUAUCCCAGAUACCCAAGACUAGACAGCAUGCAGGGGUGACAGGCUUAUUAACUUCACACUCACUGGGCCAUCAGUACUUUACUUAUAACCUCAUUCAUGGUUUUGAAGUUUUAAAAAAAUGUUGCCACCUUGUUAUUUUGUUACUCCUCUCUUAUAAGUGAUUUUCAGAUAAGCAGAAACACAUUAAAGGGAAAGUUUAUUUGGUUCAUUUGCAAGGCAGAGUCCAUGGAUUUCUUUUGGCUAUCCCUUUUUGCACUUUCAAUGGAACAAACAGUGCAAUUUUUAUCCCUUCUGUUUUUAGAGCAGCAGCUGUAAAAGUAAUUAAUGGCUAAAGAGACUCUAGCACAUCCUACUGAAAGGCCAUUCUGGGUUCAGCAGGAGCUCUGGACCCCAGGCUCCUGCCUCUGCACGUUCACAGACUUGCAGAGAGCACUCUGAUGAAUGCUGAAGGACCCCCCUCCCAAACUUGGGAUCUCCGCAGCACCCUGAUCCAUUUUGACCACUGCCACUUAUAAAGAAAACUGGUGUCAACAGGUGUUUUCAUACUAUUUCCAGUGAUGACUUUGGUGCAUAUCCAGUAUUCUUUUUUUUAAUCUCUGGGAGUUGACAAUGUUCUCAUGAAUUCUAUUAAAAAAUGAGCAUUUCCCCUAAUAUGUUUUCUCUUCCUUUCAGCCUUCACUUUCUUCUUUUUGUCUCUACCUUCCUUAAAAUAGCAUUGUGCAAAAACAUCCCUGAGGUUAAAUAAUAAUCAUGUAUAAUGAGGAAGCGUUCUGUGUGUGCCCUCUGCAGAGUCAGAGGCCUGAUGUGGGACUGAAAACACAAGCUGGCCUCCAGGCCUGGUGAGGGUCAUGCUCCCUGUGACCUCGAGUCAAUUGCUCGACACUUUGGAUUCUCAGUUUUCUGAUCUUUAAAAUAAGGAUGACAGUACCUACCUGGGCUACUUCACAGUGUCCUUGAGGGAUCAUGAAAGUGAGUGUAUUUUGUAAACUGCAGUGUUCCAUAGGGACAUAAGGAAUGUUGGUCUUAUUGAUUUUGUUAGAACAAGACUCUUCAGAAACAGUGGUGAGAGAGAGGAAUCAGUCCGGGAUUCCUCUUUUCCAUCUCAUUGACUCAUCUGAUAACACUGAGAUAGUGGCUUGCUGCUGCAUAUUCCCUAGCGGACUGAGAGAACACACAUUUGCCAAAUAUGGAGGGGAAGAUGAGCUUUCUGAACACCCUCCUAUUGUCUGCACUGGAGCUAAGCCAGGCCACAUCUUCAGGAUAAUGAUCUGAGGACGGUCAGGCUCAAUUCAUUCUGCCUGAGCUUUGCUGCUGCCCCUUCAAACUACUUACGAAAGUGGUAUUAGGUUGUGAUGGCUGCUGCCCCACCCUUGGGAGAAUGCCCAGGGGAUGUGGACUGCCCUAGGCAGCCACAGGAAACUGGACCAGAAAGUGCAGAGUCACUGUGUGCCCAGGCGCCUGCAGGCAGAUCUUUCUCCACCACAUACAUUUUUAGUGGGCCCUCUCACAAAUGCCUGAUAUUUAACAUUUGAGAAAGUCAGCAAAAUGUUUUGUUAGUCUUUUAUUCACCAUUUUAAGAAUAUAACGUUUAUCCAGUUGGUGUCGGAUAAAAUCGGGAAAGAAAAAUAUGACUGCACUAUAGACUCAGGGCCCAAAAUUAUUCUGAUGAUGGCCAAGUAAAAACAUUAAAAGCUGAAAAAUAUAAUAGCAUCCAGGAUAUUACUGAAGAUUAGUUUUAAGCUUAAGUUUUUUUCCCUCACUUAUCCAGAUUUGAGUAUGAGAAGAUUUAAAGAAUUCUAUAAAAACUGUGAAAAUGCAUCUGCUAAAUUAAUAACAGUAUUUAUUUCACAAAAAUGUCCUAAGUUUUGUAAUGCCUCUAAAACAAUUCUCAAACUUCUUGGUCUCAGUAUCCCUUUAAAAUUCAUACAUUACUUAGGACCCCAAAGGGCUUUUGUUCAUGUAAAUAAUAUCAAUAUGUAUUUAUUGUAUUAAAAGUUAAACCUGAGAGUUUUUAAAAAUUUAUUUACUAAUUCAUUUAAAAUUAACAAAAACAAACAUACUACCUGUUAACAUCAGUGCAAUGAUGUCGUCAUAUUGAUGCCGGAUUUCUUGCUCCUUAGCUCAGCUAGGUCUGGGUUCUUGUCUCAUGACCAGGAAGAAGUAGGCACCUGGGCACUCUUAGAGUGAGCAAGGCAGGAAAUUUUAUUGAGUGAUGAAACAGCUUUUUCAGGAAGGGGACGGGGAUGGUCCCCCUAUCCAAAGGCAGGAGAGUUCUCAAUAUAACCGAGCCCAGGGCUUUUUAAGGGCUCAGAAUAGGGAGUGUGUGCUGACUGGUUUGUGAGUAUGCAAAAAAGGUCAAAGCAAAGAUGCCACUCAAAGGUGGGCACGACAUUGUAGAAAAUCAAUUAGGAAAGGGUAGGUAUGUGUAAAAUGGGUGAAGGGUGGAGAUCAAUCAGAGGAAAGCACACCAAACAGGAAAGCGGGUUCUCAAUCUGGUUCGAGGAGUUAACUUGUAGCUUGGCUUUCAGGCUUUAAACUGUCUUUGGCUUGGACGUGGGAUUUCGCUGGGGACCCGCCCCUACAUGCUUAGGCAUUUGGCUGCCUCCUGCUGCUCUCAAUAUUUCAUAUAGCUAUGGAAAAACUCUACUCAUAAGGAAAUGAGAGUGAGAAGGGCAAAUGACUUCUUAGUGCUUGCUUGUCAAGGGCUUGUUUGACAAUGUUUGCUCUAAAAUAUUUUGAUCUCCAUGAAAAAAGUGUUAAAGAAAAUGAGGAAUUACAAUUUUAUUAUCCUAGGAUUUUUAAAAGUCUGUUUCAUUGAUCUUAAAAAGUAUAUUUGUAUUGUUCAAAUUGUGGGCUAUGAGUUUGAAUCCUCAUCCUGUCAUGUACUGGUUGAAUGACCUUGGACAAGCUAUUUAAGUUUUCUGGACUUCAGUGUCCUCACCUGUAAAAUAAAAAUGAUAAU